rnacentral:rRNA from 1 species
CCUACGGGAGGCAGCAGCUAAGAAUCUUCCGCAAUGGGGGAAACCCUGACGGAGCGACGCCGCGUGGACGAAGAAGGCCGCAAGGUUGUAAAGUCCUUUUGCAGGCGAAGAAUAAGGUGAAGAGUGGAAUGCUUUGCCGAUGACGUUAGCCUGCGAAUAAGCCCCGGCCAAUUACGUGCCAGCAGCCGCGGUAACACGUAUGGGGCGAGCGUUGUUCGGAAUUACUGGGCAUAAAGGGCGUGUAGGCGGUUCGGUAAGCCUGGCGUGAAAGGUAUCGGCUCAACCGGUAGAUGGCGCUGGGAACUGGCGGACUGGAGUUUUGGAGGGGGAGCUGGAAUUCCUGGUGUAGGGGUGAAAUGCGUAGAUAUCUGGAGGAAGGCCGGUGGCGAAGGCGGCCCUCUGGUACUGGACUGACGCUGAGGCGCGAAAGCGUGGGGAGCGAACAGGAUUAGAUACCCUGGUAGUCCACGCCCUAAACGGUGGGCACUAGGUGUAGGGCUCGUAAGGGUUCUGUGCCGAAGGGAAACCAUUAAGUGCCCCGCCUGGGGAGUACGGCCGCAAGGUUGAAACUCAAAGGAAUUGACGG